rnacentral:rRNA from 1 species
UUCAGCGAAACCAAUCCGCGGCAUUUAGUAGCGGUAAAGUUAGACCAAACCAUGAAACCAACAUAAACAUUAUUGCCCGGCGUACGGGGAAGGACGUCAAUAGUCACACAGUCCUUGACGGUAUAAUAACCACCAUCAUGGCGACCAUCCAAAGGAUAAACAUCAUAGGCAGUCGGGAGGGUAGUCGGAACCGAAGAAGACUCAAAGCGAACCAAACAGGCAAAAAAUUUAGGGUCGGCAUCAAAAGCAAUAUCAGCACCAACAGAAACAACCUGAUUAGCGGCGUUGACAGAUGUAUCCAUCUGAAUGCAAUGAAGAAAACCACCAUUACCAGCAUUAACCGUCAAACUAUCAAAAUAUAACG